rnacentral:rRNA from 1 species
CUACGGCCAUACUGCCCUGAACACACCCAAUCUCAUCAGAUCUCAGAAGCUAUGCAGGGUCAGGCCUGGUUAGUACUUGGGUCAGAGAACUGCCAGGGGUAUGGGAGGGUCAGGUUUCUAUGUGGA